GAUGAACGCUGACAGAAUGCUUAACACAUGCAAGUCAACUGUGGCGGACGGGUGAGUAACGCGUAAAGAACUUUCCUCACAGAUAGGCACCACAUUUGGAAACGAAUGCUAAUACCUGAUACUGUGAGAGAGGUUUGCGUCCCAUUAGCUAGUUGGAGAGGUAACGGCGCACCAAGGCGAUGAUGGGUAGCCGGCCUGAGAGGGUGAUCGGCCACAAGGGGACUGGGUCACUGCCCUUACUACUACGGGUGGAAGGAGUGGGGAAUAUGGGAAAAUGGACAAAAGUCUGAUCCAGCAAUUGUGUGUGCAAGAUGAAGUUUUCGGAAUGUAAAGUGUUUUCAGUUGAGAAGCAGUACCGACAGAAGAAGUAACGGCUAAAUACGUGCCAGCAGCCGCGGUAAUUC
rnacentral:rRNA from 1 species